rnacentral:rRNA from 1 species
GUGUCAGCAGCCGCGGUAAUACGUAGGGCGCAAGCGUUAUCCGGAAUUAUUGGGCGUAAAGAGCUCGUAGGCGGUUUGUCGCGUCUGCUGUGAAAUCCGGAGGCUCAACCUCCGGCCUGCAGUGGGUACGGGCAGACUAGAGUGCGGUAGGGGAGAUUGGAAUUCCUGGUGUAGCGGUGGAAUGCGCAGAUAUCAGGAGGAACACCGAUGGCGAAGGCAGAUCUCUGGGCCGUAACUGACGCUGAGGAGCGAAAGGGUGGGGAGCAAACAGGCUUAGAUACCCUGGUAGUCCCACCCCGUAAACGUUGGGAACUAGUUGUGGGGUCCAUUCCACGGAUUCCGUGACGCAGCUAACGCAUUAAACGUUCCCCGCCUGGGGAGUACGGCCGCAAGGCUAAAAACUUAAAGGAAUUGGCGGG